rnacentral:rRNA from 1 species
CGGGGUGCAGCAGGCGCGAAAACUUUACAAUGCGGGAAACCGUGAUAAGGGGACACCGAGUGCCAGCAUCAUAUGCUGGCUGUCCAGGUGUGUAAACUACACCUGUUAGCAAGGGCCGGGCAAGACCGGUGCCAGCCGCCGCGGUAACACCGGCGGCCCGAGUGGUGAUCGUGAUUAUUGGGUCUAAAGGGUCCGUAGCCGGUUUGGUCAGUCCUCCGGGAAAUCUGACGGCUCAACCGUUAGGCUUUCGGGGGAUACUGCCAGGCUUGGAACCGGGAGAGGUAAGAGGUACUACAGGGGUAGGAGUGAAAUCUUGUAAUCCCUGUGGGACCACCUGUGGCGAAGGCGUCUUACCAGAACGGGUUCGACGGUGAGGGACGAAAGCUGGGGGCACGAACCGGAUUAGAUACCCGGGUAGUCCCAGCCGUAAACGAUGCUCGCUAGGUGUCAGGCAUGGCGCGACCGUGUCUGGUGCCGCAGGGAAGCCGUGAAGCGAGCCACCUGGGAAGUACGGCCGCAAGGCUGAAACUUAAAGGAAUUGGCGGGGGAGCACAAGGGCGAAUCGCG